CUUCAGACGGCCUGGGCAGA
rnacentral:misc_RNA from 1 species